GUUUAUGGCGAUACCACCCUGAAUGCACCCGAUCUCGUCUGAUCUCAGAAGCUAAGCAGGGUUGGGCCUGGUUAGUACUUGGAUGGGAAUGGUUAUGUUUUGUUUGGAUUUGGUUUGUUUUAGCUA
ensembl:rRNA 5S_rRNA 5S ribosomal RNA